rnacentral:rRNA from 1 species
GACGAACGCUGGCGGCGUGCUUAACACAUGCAAGUCGAACGGAAAGGCCCUGCUUUUGUGGGGUGCUCGAGUGGCGAACGGGUGAGUAACACGUGAGUAACCUGCCCUUGACUUUGGGAUAACUUCAGGAAACUGGGGCUAAUACCGGAUAGGAGCUCCUGCUGCAUGGUGGGGGUUGGAAAGUUUCGGCGGUUGGGGAUGGACUCGCGGCUUAUCAGCUUGUUGGUGGGGUAGUGGCUUACCAAGGCUUUGACGGGUAGCCGGCCUGAGAGGGUGACCGGCCACAUUGGGACUGAGAUACGGCCCAGACUCCUACGGGAGGCAGCAGUGGGGAAUAUGGCACAAUGGGCGGAAGCCUGAUGCAGCAACGCCGCGUGCGGGAUGACGGCCUUCGGGUGGUAAACCGCUUUCGCCUGUGACGAAGCGUGAGGGACGGUAAUGGGUAAAGAAGCACCGGCUAACUACGU